AGAGUUUGAUCCUGGCUCAGGAUGAACGCUGGCGGCGUGCUUAACACAUGCAAGUCGAACGAUUAACCCGCCCUCGGGCGGUUAUAGAGUGGCGAACGGGUGAGUAACGCGUGAGCAACCUGCCCCUUGCUCCGGGACAACCCAGGGAAACCUCGGCUAAUACCGGAUACUCCGCGCAGCCCGCAUGGGAGGCGCGGGAAAGCCCAGACGGCAAGGGAUGGGGUCGCGGCCCAUUAGGUAGACGGCGGGGUAACGGCCCACCGUGCCCGCGAUGGGUAGCCGGGUUGAGAGACCGAUCGGCCACAUUGGGACUGAGAUACGGCCCAGACUCCUACGGGAGGCAGCAGUGGGGAAUUUUGCGCAAUGGGGGAAACCCUGACGCAGCAACGCCGCGUGCGGGACGAAGGCCUUCGGGUUGUAAACCGCUUUCAGCAGGGAAUAUAGUGAAGGUACCUGCAGAAGAAGCUCCGGCUAACUACGUGCCAGCAGCCGCGGUAAUACGUAGGGAGCGAGCGUUAUCCGGAUUCAUUGGGCGUAAAGCGCGCGUAGGCGGCCCGUCAAGCGGGGUUUCAAAUCCAGGGGCUCAACCUCUGGCCGGACCCCGAACUGGCGGGCUCGAGUGCGGUAGAGGAAGGUGGAAUUCCCAGUGUAGCGGUGAAAUGCGCAGAUAUUGGGAAGAACACCGAUGGCGAAGGCAGCCUUCUGGGCCGCCACUGACGCUGAGGCGCGAAAGCUAGGGGAGCGAACAGGAUUAGAUACCCUGGUAGUCCUAGCCGUAAACGAUGG
rnacentral:rRNA from 1 species